GGAUCGGUAGCUCAGUUGGUAGAGCACGAGACGCAACGCAAGGCCUGAACUCACCUCGCGACGCUGGCGCAGGUUCGACUCCUGCCCGAUUCC
rnacentral:tRNA from 1 species